AACGAACGCUGGCGGCAUGCCUAACACAUGCAAGUCGAACGAAGUCUUCGGACUUAGUGGCGCACGGGUGCGUAACGCGUGGGAAUCUGCCCUUGGGUGCGGAAUAACUUCUCGAAAGGGAUGCUAAUACCGCAUAAUGUCGUAAGACCAAAGAUUUAUCGCCCAAGGAUGAGCCCGCGUAAGAUUAGCUAGUUGGUGGGGUAAAAGCCUACCAAGGCGACGAUCUUUAGCUGGUCUGAGAGGAUGAUCAGCCACACUGGGACUGAGACACGGCCCAGACUCCUACGGGAGGCAGCAGUGGGGAAUAUUGGACAAUGGGCGAAAGCCUGAUCCAGCAAUGCCGCGUGAGUGAUGAAGGCCUUAGGGUUGUAAAGCUCUUUUACCCGGGAUGAUAAUGACAGUACCGGGAGAAUAAGCCCCCGGCUAACUCCGUGCCAGCAGCCGCGGUAAU
rnacentral:rRNA from 1 species